rnacentral:rRNA from 1 species
ACUGAACGCUGGCGGCAGGCCUAACACAUGCAAGUCGAACGAGUGGCGGACGGGUGAGUAAUGUCUGGGAAACUGCCCGAUGGAGGGGGAUAACUACUGGAAACGGUAGCUAAUACCGCAUACCAUCGGAUGUGCCCAUAUGGGAUUAGCUAGUAGGUGGGGUAAAGGCUCACCUAGGCGACGAUCCCUAGCUGGUCUGAGAGGAUGACCAGCCACAGUGGGACGGAGACACGGCCCAGACUCCUACGGGAGGCAGCAGUGGGGAAGAGUGCACAAUGGGCGCAAGCCUGAGGCAGCCAUGCGGCGUGUAUGAAGAAGGCCUUAGGGUUGUAAAGUACUGUCAGCGGGGAGGCGUUACCCGCAGAAGAAGCACCGGCUAACUCCGUGCCAGCAGCCGCGGUAAUAC